rnacentral:lncRNA from 1 species
UAUUAAUUAAGUCUCCCAAACAAAGUUUGGAGACUUAUUGGUUUUGCUCAGUUCUUAUUAUUUUUCUUCUUCUUCUUCUUCUUCUUCUUCUUCUUCUUCUUCUUCUUCUUCCGCCGCUUUAAAAAUUGAACUUGUCCGCAGCGUUUCUCCAAAACCGCUUGUCAGAUUGACUUAGGAUUUCAUAAAAUGGUAGACUAAUAUGUCUAGGUGAGCCAUCAAUCUUUCGUUUGUGCAUUGGGGUCUAUAAAGGGGUAUUUUGGGGGGUAGAAAGCAGGGA